UACGAAGGGUGCAAGCGUUACUCGGAAUCACUGGGCGUAAAGGGUGCGUAGGCGGGUCUUUAAGUCAGGGGUGAAAUCCUGGAGCUCAACUCCAGAACUGCCUUUGAUACUGAAGAUCUUGAGUUCGGGAGAGGUGAGUGGAACUGCGAGUGUAGAGGUGAAAUUCGUAGAUAUUCGCAAGAACACCAGUGGCGAAGGCGGCUCACUGGCCCGAUACUGACGCUGAGGCACGAAAGCGUGGGGAGCAAACAGG
rnacentral:rRNA from 1 species